CCUACGGGUGGCAGCAGUGAGGAAUAUUGGUCAAUGGGCUUACGCCUGAACCAGCCAAGUCGCGUGAGGGAAGACUGCCCUAUGGGUUGUAAACCUCUUUUGUCAGGGAGCAACGCCGGCUACGUGUAGCCGGACUUAGAUUACCUGUAGAAAAAGCAUCGGCUAACUCCGUGCCAGCAGCCGCGGUAAUACGGAGGAUGCGAGCGUUAUCCGGAUUUAUUGGGUUUAAAGGGUGCGUAGGCGGAAUGCCAAGUCAGCGGUAAAGUCGCGGGGCUAAACCUCGCUCCGCAGUUGAUACUGGCGUUAUUGAGUGGGCGAGAAGUAGGCGGAAUGCGUGGUGUAGCGGUGAAAUGCAUAGAUAUCACGCAGAACUCCGAUUGCGAAGGCAGCAUACCGGCGCCCAACUGACGCUGAAGCACGAAAGCGUGGGUAUCGAACAGGAUUAGAUACCCCUGUAGUC
rnacentral:rRNA from 1 species